rnacentral:rRNA from 1 species
UACGUAGGGUGCGAGCGUUGUCCGGAUUUAUUGGGCGUAAAGAGCUCGUAGGCGGUUUGUCGCGUCGGCCGUGAAAUCUCCACGCUUAACGUGGAGCGUGCGGUCGAUACGGGCAGACUUGAGUUCGGUAGGGGAGACUGGAAUUCCUGGUGUAGCGGUGAAAUGCGCAGAUAUCAGGAAGAACACCGAUGGCGAAGGCAGCUCUCUGGGACGGUACUGACGCUGAGGAGCGAAAGCGUGGGGAGCGAACAGG